CCACAGCCGGCCUUUUGGGAGUGAGCGAGCAGUGUAGGCUGGUAAUCUUUUUGUCUCUCCACAAGGCCCGCUUUUUGUCGGCAGUGGUCGCAUGGAACUCGAAGGGCCGGUCGAUUGCAAGCCAGCCUUUCCUCGACUGCUGCGGAAGUCUGGGCUCUGCUUUUUAACAUGUCUCUUCAAUCUUCUGACUCCCUUUUUGCAGGGCAUGGUGAGUGUGCUGCAGACCUUGACUGUAAAUCAGCUGCAUCCAGGCAACAGGAUUUUCUGGUAAGCUGGGCAUCUAUGUAUCUGAAUAAAGCGAAAGUACAAUCUUA